GACGAACGCUGGCGGCGUGCUUAACACAUGCAAGUCGAACGGAAAGGCCCUGCUUUUGUGGGGUGCUCGAGUGGCGAACGGGUGAGUAACACGUGAGUAACCUGCCCUUGACUUUGGGAUAACUUCAGGAAACUGGGGCUAAUACCGGAUAGGAGCUCCUGCUGCAUGGUGGGGGUUGGAAAGUUUCGGCGGUUGGGGAUGAACUCGCGGCUUAUCAGCUUGUUGGUGGGGUAGUGGCUUACCAAGGCUUUGACGGGUAGCCGGCCUGAGAGGGUGACCGGCCACAUUGGGACUGAGAUACGGCCCAGACUCCUACGGGAGGCAGAGGUGGGGAAUAUUGCACAAUGGGCGGAAGCCUGAUGCAGCAACGCCGCGUGCGGGAUGACGGCCUUCGGGUUGUAAACCGCUUUCGCCUGUGACGAAGCGUGAGUGACGGUAAUGGGUAAAGAAGCACCGGCUAACUACGUG
rnacentral:rRNA from 1 species